rnacentral:rRNA from 1 species
UACGUAUGGAGCAAGCGUUAUCCGGAUUUACUGGGUGUAAAGGGAGCGUAGGCGGCAGAUCAAGUCUGAAGUGAAAUCCCCGGGCUCAACUCGGGAACUGCUUUGGAAACUGGUUUGCUAGAGUGUCGGAGAGGUAAGCGGAAUUCCUAGUGUAGCGGUGAAAUGCGUAGAUAUUAGGAGGAACACCAGUGGCGAAGGCGGCUUACUGGACGAUUACUGACGCUGAGGCUCGAAAGCGUGGGGAGCAAAC